rnacentral:lncRNA from 1 species
GAGAGUUGUGACAGGUACCCAAAUCUAAUUUCCCAGUUCACCCUUAAAAUAAAUGGUGGGAAGUUAUUUAAAAGUUAAGGGGGUGUUCUCUUUGUGUUUCAGUUUUGUGUUUUGAGUUUUGAAUUCAUUUUGAGUUUUGUAUUUUGAGUUUUUGUUUUGAAAUUCUUGAAAAUGCGUUCUUUUUGUUAGUUUCUACUCGACAAUAUAAUGUAAAGAUUUUAGCUUCUUCUUUUUUUAUUUUUUUUGGGUCCAUUUUUAAUAUAGUACUUUCUAUUCUUUAAACUAAAAUUAUCUAAUGUCUUAUUGCUUCACUUGUUGGGCAUGUUCAAAUGUUAGAGGCUGUUCUUUUCGUGUUUCAAUUUUAUAGUUUUGAAUUUUGAAUUCAUUUUGGAUUUUCUGUUUUGAGUGUCUGUUUUGAAAUUACUGAAAAUGUAUUUUUUUGCCAUUUUGGAACCAUUUCUCGUGUUUUCAAUUUUUUCAAGUUUUACACUGAAAACGCCCAAAACGACAAAAAAGUCGUUUUGUGUUUUCUUCACAAAUUUUUUUCGUUUUCGAAAACGUUUUCGAAAAUUCGUUUUCGAAAACGGGAAAGAGAACACGUUUUCACCGUUUUGAAAAAUCGAAAACAGAAAACGACCCGAAAACGGUAAAGAGAACAGGGCCUAAGUGCUUGUUUGAUAAGAAAUUUGAUAAUGAUUUUUUGAUCAUUAAAUAUAAAAGUGGAUUUUACUUGUGAGAGAAAAGUUUAAAAAUGAUGGUUGAAAUAGUGAAAUAAUGAUCAAAAAUGACGAUUAAAAUAGUGAAAUAACGAUUAAAAAAUAGCCAGAUUAUUUUUGGAAAUUAGUUUCGAAAAAUGAGGAUGUUUUUGACCUUUUGAAUUUCAACGUGUUUUGCAACAAUUAAAAGGCUGGCACAGUUCUGUCCACUUGUGAUUUUUUAACAAUUAAUUUACUGUUUAAAAAAUAAAAGCUGGCAAAAAGUUGGAAUAAUGGAAAACACAAAUACAGCAAAAAAAAUUAGAGAAAAUUGUAGCAGUGGUCCCAAUUUUUCUCAUUUUUUGCAGACUUUAGCCAACCUUCAUUUUGUGUCAGAAAAAUUCCUAACCUUUCAUAAAUAUGCAACUAAAGUCCGUUUGAUCGGCAACUAUCCAAAACAUCGUCAGUUAAUUGGAAAAUUUAAGGAAUCAACAUCCAAUAAAAUCAUCAAAAAUAUCAUCCAAAAAAGUAUCAACAUCCAAUAAAAUUGUCGCGAUAACAGAUAAUUGAAGAAAUUUUCCUUGUCAACUGACGGUAUUUUAGACUGUUUUCUUCCAAAUAAAACUCGUGUGUAUAUUUAUGAAAGGUUAGAAACUUUCGCUGAUAUAAAAUAAAAAUUAGAGUAAAACCUACAAAAAAAUUGAAAAGGUUAGGAACCUUUGCUGCACUUUUCCCAAAAAAUUAUAGCAAAAGACAUAUAAGAGUGUAAUAGUUUAAUGAUAUAUGUCUCAUUGGCUCACAUUCUUCUUAAAUUUUUCAAUCUCAUCUUCAUUUUUUGUAGACCGUAGACCCCACUUCUGAAAUUAUUAAUUUUUGUCUGACACCAGAGUUGUCAUAUUUUUUUUUUUUUUUGAUAACCCAGGUGUCCCAGCUUAGCCGGACUAAAUUCUGGACCUCUAGCCCCCGGUCCCUCAGUGACUAGUGGAGGUAAAUCGCAGGUUGUGCCCUUGUUGGUUCCCAGGUUCCCACAUGGCUUUUACUCCUUCCCCAAAGGAACCCUCCUCCAUGGUUAUUACAUCACCAAGCUGCUCCAACCCUUCCUCUGGUUAUUACAUCACUUGGCUGCUCCAACCAGAAAUCGAACUCCCCACACUUGGUUCCAGAGCCCCCCAAUGUGAUUGUUCCGUCAACUUGGAUGUGCCCUGGGGGGCAAGUUGUUGUCACAUUUUGACUAUUCAAUGAAGUGUUCCACAUAUAAAAUCCAUCAAUUCACAUUUAUGCCCUUGACAUUAUGGUUAUAAAUUUCACGUAAAAUAGCCCUGUUUGAACCUCAUUCUCUCAUAAAUUCUUUUUUUUUUUCAAAAUUUUUUUAAUAAAAUAAUAUUACACACAAAUUCAAAAAAAUUUCAUUAAUAUUUAAUCACAUAUUCUUCAUCAAUCACUAUAUAAAAAUAUAUUUUUUUGUAAAUUUUUAAUUACAAAGUUGAGCCCUGCUUGACGUCCAGGGCGACAUGGGCUCAGUACGUGUAUUUUUAUCCCACAAAGUUAGGGUAAAAUAGUCCUAUAUGCCUUAACGGCAUUAUCAAUAUUAACUUAUUCUAACAGUUGCACUGCUUCAUUCUAUAUUUUUAAAUAUGCCUACUACCGGAAAAAAAUA